rnacentral:lncRNA from 13 species
ACCAAGCACAUGAAGUAUUCCCAGAAGUGAAAAAAUGUAAUUCAGUUGUCUCCUGCCUGGGUUUCCAUCUGGACUUCAUCAUGCAACAAUGAGAAAAGAGCACGUUUCUGAUUACAUCCAAUUUCCUCUGUCUGAAGAACCGCCUGAAACAUUUCUCACAGAGAACGUGGUCCCAAUCCGGACCCCAGAGAAAGAUCUUGGAUCUCAUGCAAGACAGAAUUCAGGUGUGACUUGUCCACUCUCCCAGCACCACAAGCUUUCUCCUCCUAUUGAAUGUGGCUAG